GCGGCGGACGGGUGAGUAACACGUGGGCAAACUGCCUGUCAGACUGGGAUAACACCGGGAACACGAUGCUAAUACCGGAUAAUUCUUUACCUCUGAUGAGGUAAAGCUGAAAGUCCGUUUCGGCUGACACUUGCAGAUGGGCCCGCGGCGCAUUACCUAGUUGGUGAGGUAACGGCUCACCA
rnacentral:rRNA from 1 species